GAUGAACGCUGGCGGCGUGCCUAAUACAUGCAAGUCGAGCGAACGGACGAGAAGCUUGCUUCUCUGAAGUUAGCGGCGGACGGGUGAGUAACACGUAGCUAACCUACCUAUAAGACUGGGAUAACUUAGGGAAACCGUAGCUCACACCGGAUAAUAUUUUGAACCGCAUGGAUCAAAAGUGAAAGAGGGUCUUGCUGUCACUUAUAGGUAGAACCGCGCUGCAUUAGCUAGUUGGUAAGGUAACGGCUUACCAAGGCAACGAUGCAUAGCCGACCUGAGAGGGUGAUCAGCCACACUGGAACUGAGACACGGUCCAGACUCCUACGGGAGGCAGCAGUAGGGAAUCUUGCACAAUGGGCGAAAGCCUGACGGAGCAACGCCGCGUGAGUGAUGAAGGUCUUCGGAUCGUAAAACUCUGUUAUUAGGGAAGAACAUAAGUGUGAGUAACUGUGCACAUCUUGACGUUACCUAAACAGAAAGCCACGGCUAACUACGUG
rnacentral:rRNA from 1 species